UACGUAGGGGGCAAGCGUUGUCCGGAUUUAUUGGGCGUAAAGAGCUCGUAGGCGGUUUGGUAAGUCUGGUGUGAAAUCUCCACGCUCAACGUGGAGGGGCCACCCGAUACUGCCAUGACUGGAGUCCGGUAGAGGAGUGUGGAAUUCCCGGUGUAGCGGUGAAAUGCUUAGAUAUGACAUAGAACACCAAUUGCGAAGGCAGCUUACUACACAAUGAUUGACACUGAGGCACGAAAGCGUGGGGAUCAAACAGG
rnacentral:rRNA from 1 species